GGGUGUGGACAGCCGCCCUGCGGGCGGUUCCGGAGUUGCACACACUUGAGGCUGACGCGCCGGCAGAGCCGGCUUGCCCAAACAUAAAUAUAAAACUUACAAAACCAUCGCUCCGACGGGCAACGUCGAGGGUGAUUUCUUCAAAGCCAACACCAAAACCUAAAAAGCAUCAGGAAGUGUGGAUGGAAUUUAGGGGGGUGGUUCAAACGACGAUACGUUCGCACUGGCAGCCUAAGGGCCGCCGUCCUCUGCCUAGUUCACUGACGGGCUAGUGUCGCAAGACCGGUAGCAAUACCGACAGAGGUCAUAUACGUCAGUUAAGCCUUGACGGAGUCACGACGUCCGGGUCGAAAAUCUAGUGAAUCGCCGUAGUGCAGCGUGUUCGUCCGCGUCACUGCGGUUAAAUUAAAAGACAGAACUAAACAUGUAGAACUGGUCGUAGAGUGCUUCUGGACGCGGGUUCGAUUCCCGCCGCCUCCACCA
rnacentral:tmRNA from 1 species